rnacentral:rRNA from 1 species
CCUACGGGAGGCAGCAGUGGGGAAUUUUGGACAAUGGGCGCAAGCCUGAUCCAGCAAUGCCGCGUGAGUGAAGAAGGCCUUCGGGUUGUAAAGCUCUUUUGUCAGGGAAGAAAAGGGUCUGGCUAAUAUCUAGGCCUCAUGACGGUACCUGAAGAAUAAGCACCGGCUAACUACGUGCCAGCAGCCGCGGUAAUACGUAGGGUGCAAGCGUUAAUCGGAAUUACUGGGCGUAAAGCGUGCGCAGGCGGUUUUGUAAGACUGUCGUGAAAUCCCCGGGCUCAACCUGGGAAUGGCGAUGGUGACUGCAAGGCUAGAGUUUGGCAGAGGGGGGUAGAAUUCCACGUGUAGCAGUGAAAUGCGUAGAUAUGUGGAGGAACACCGAUGGCGAAGGCAGCCCCCUGGGUCAAAACUGACGCUCAUGCACGAAAGCGUGGGGAGCAAACAGGAUUAGAUACCCUGGUAGUCCACGCCCUAAACGAUGUCUACUAGUUGUCGGGUCUUAAUUGACUUGGUAACGCAGCUAACGCGUGAAGUAGACCGCCUGGGGAGGUACGGUCGCGAGAGUUAAACGUUAAAGUAAAGUUAGUACGGCGUGAGACGUGACCGACGGACGACGACGAGGGAGGUUAGGG